CGUAGAGAAAUCGAGUCUUAAUAGGGCGUUUAGUUGCUGGGUAUAGACCCGAAACCAGGCGAUCUAUCCAUGAGCAGGUUGAAGGUUGGGUAACACUAACUGGAGGACCGAACCCACUGUCGUUGAAAAGCCAGGGGAUGACUUGUGGAUAGGGGUGAAAGGCUAAUCAAGCCUGGUGAUAGCUGGUUCUCCCCGAAAGCUAUUUAGGUAGCGCCUCGGACGAAUACCAUAGGGGGUAGAGCACUGUUUCGGCUAGGGGGUCAUCCCGACUUACCAAACCGAUGCAAACUCCGAAUACCUAUGAGUACUAUCCGGGAGACAGACUGCGGGUGCUAACGUCCGUAGUCAAGAGGAAAACAAUCCAGACCGCCAGCUAAGGCCCCAAAAUCAUAGUUAAGUGGGAAACGAUGUGGGAAGGCAUAGACAGCUAGGAGGUUGGC
rnacentral:rRNA from 1 species